AUUGAACGCUGGCGGCAGGCUUAACACAUGCAAGUCGAACGAGUGGCGGACGGGUGAGUAAUGCUUGGGAAUCUGGCUUAUGGAGGGGGAUAACGACGGGAAACUGUCGCUAAUACCGCGUACCAUAGGAUGAGCCCAAGUGGGAUUAGGUAGUUGGUGGGGUAAUGGCUCACCAAGCCGACGAUCUCUAGCUGGUCUGAGAGGAUGACCAGCCAAACUGGGACUGAGACACGGCCCAGACUCCUACGGGAGGCAGCAGUGGGGAAUAUUGCACAAUGGGGGCAACCUGACGCAGCCAUGCCGCGUGAAUGAAGAAGGCCUUCGGGUUGUAAAGUUCUUUCGGUAGCGAGGCGUUAACCACAGAAGAAGCACCGGCUAACUCCGUGCCAGCAGCCGCGGUAAUAC
rnacentral:rRNA from 1 species